rnacentral:rRNA from 1 species
UACGUAGGGCGCAAGCCGUUGUCCGGAAUUAUUGGGCGUAAAGAGCUCGUAGGCGGUCUGUCGCGUCUGCUGUGAAACUCAGGGCUUAACCCUGAGCUUGCAGUGGGUACGGGCAGACUAGAGUGCGGUAGGGGAGACUGGAAUUCCUGGUGUAGCGGUGAAAUGCGCAGAUAUCAGGAGGAACACCGGUGGCGAAGGCGGGUCUCUGGGCCGU